UACGUAGGGGUGCGAGCGUUGUCCGGAAUUACUGGGCGUAAAGAGUUCGUAGGCGGUUUGUCGCGUCGUUCGUGAAAACUUGGGGCUUAACUCCAAGCGUGCGGGCGAUACGGGCAGACUUGAGUACUACAGGGGAGACUGGAAUUCCUGGUGUAGCGGUGAAAUGCGCAGAUAUCAGGAGGAACACCGGUGGGCGAAAGGCGGGUCUCUGGGCAGUAACUG
rnacentral:rRNA from 1 species